GGCCUUAUCGUCUAGUGGUUAGGACGCCAGGUUCUCAUCCUGGUAACCGGGGUUCGACUCCCCGUGGGGCUACCA
rnacentral:tRNA from 4 species